GACGAACGCUGGCGGCGUGCUUAACACAUGCAAGUCGAACGGAAAGGCCCUGCUUUUGUGGGGUGCCCGAGUGGCGAACGGGUGAGUAACACGUGAGUAACCUGCCCUUGACUUUGGGAUAACUUCAGGAAACUGGGGCUAAUACCAGAUAGGAGCUCCUGCUGCAUGGUGGGGGUUGGAAAGUUUCGGCGGUUGGGGAUGGACUCGCGGCUUAUCAGCUUGUUGGUGGGGUAGUGGCUUACCAAGGCUUUGACGGGUAGCCGGCCUGAGAGGGUGACCGGCCACAUUGGGACUGAGAUACGGCCCAGACUCCUACGGGAGGCAGCAGUGGGGAAUAUUGCACAAUGGGCGGAAGCCUGAUGCAGCAACGCCGCGUGCGGGAUGACGGCCUUCGGGUUGUAAACCGCUUUCGCCUGUGACGAAGCGUGAGUGACGGUAAUGGGUAAAGAAGCACCGGCUAACUACGUG
rnacentral:rRNA from 1 species